CUUGAAUCAUUCCAUUCCACUCCACCAUACAAUGUUUAUCAGUAUACCAUACAACUGGUCUGUAACGUUUGUGAAUAUCCUGUUUUCUUGAAGUACGUGUCAAGAAGUUAGUUAGAAUUAAACCUGAAUAAUCCAGUCGUUAUAUUCCAGACCGUAAGAGGGCGCUGAAUUAUUCGAGUUAAAUGCCAAGUCUUCAGGGACCUUUAUUCGUUAUACUUAUCGUACUUUAUGUACUUGUUCCAGGGAUUGCGACGAACAAUUUCCGAUACUUUAACUUGUGCUGGCCGGACUAUUGGGCUUGGAAGAGAGGAUAUGAUUGCUGUAUAAACGAAAAUAAAAAUAUAAUAAGGGAACUUACAUCAAACCUGCAGCGAGUUAAAACAGAAUUAGACAGACAGAAAAAUGUCACAGCGACAUCCGACGCAGAAUUUUUAAAAAGAAUAUCUACCUCUAUAGUAGAACAGAAUAGUUUAUGGUUAAAAUGCAUCACCGUAAAACCUGGCAGAGAUUGCGACAUCACACAAGGUUGUGCAACUAAAGACAGAACAUGUCGUCCAAUUAAUGUGUGAACAUGUCGUCCAAUAAAUGUGUGAACAUUUCGAUAGUCAAAGAAUAACGUAAAUACUAUUAAAACAUUUGGAGUAGUUUGUAGAACCACUAAACAGUUGGAGUACUUUCCAUAACUGCUAAGUAGUUGGAGUAAUUUGUUUACGUACCUACUAAACAUUUGGAGUAAUUAGUUGCCAGGAGAUGUGUUUUUAUUUAAUAUUAUUGAACUGAUGGGACGGCUUUACUGUCCAUUUAGAAUUUAUUUUUUUGAAAAUUGUCAGAGACAUCGAGUUAAAAAAUCACUAAACAUACUGUUUUUUUAUUUUAAGAUCAUGAAGAUUUUAUUUGGCUAAUUUCGUCUUAAAAUAACUAAAGAAAUUAUUAUCUGAUUUCAAAAUU